ACUCCUACGGGAGGCAGCAGUCGAGAAUUUUUCUCAAUGGGCGAAAGCCUGGCCCAGCGACGCCGCGUGGAGGAUGAAGCCUUUCGGGGUGUAAACUCCUUUUGUUAAGGACGAAUCUGUGACGGUACUUAACGAAUAAGCCCCGGCAAACUACGUGCCAGCAGCCGCGGUAAU
rnacentral:rRNA from 1 species